AAUUUUGAGCAACUUCGGAUCUGGACAAAAUGCGAAAUCUGCUCCGAUCUUGUAGAAAAUCACACCGGUGACUUCGAACUUGGCUCUGAUACCAUUUGUUGUAUCCAAAAUGAAUCACCAAUCGCAUAUCUAUCCACAUCUACCACACACACAAGACAAUAGACUUACGUAGUUCGGCCAAUUAUGCCUACGUCCACGGAGAGGAAUCAAUAAUCCAUUAAUCUAGGGAUUACAAUGAAUACAAAAGGGAGGAGAUCACACUUCACUCACCUAUCAGCACUCAAUCUCACUCUCACAAUAUCUCUCUGUCUCGCCUCUCUUCUCUCACAGCCUUACAGCCCUCCCCCUCAGCAAAUCACUCUCUUUGUCCACUAUUCUAAAAAUCGGCCGCCCAGACCGCCUAGGUACUAGGCCCCGCCUAGGUGAUGCCCUCCGACACACUACCGCCUAGCGCUUUUUAGAGACCUAGUUCUAAUCUCUAUGUAUUUUAGAGACUUAAAAUGUCAUUUCUAUCCGUUCUCUUAGUAUUAUAAACAUUAACAGUUGAACUUUACUUAUUUUGAUGAUCAUGUCUUUGUUAAAAUUUGAUAUUUGGUCAUUUAUGAAUGUUUUAGUAAAUAUUAAUAGUUUAAAUAAAUAAAUAAAUAAAAAUAUAAAAAAACGCCUAGGCCCUAGGCCCUAGGCCCCCCGGCCGACCGUUUACCGCCUAGCGCUUUUUAGAACAUUGUCUCUGUCUGCUCUCAGCCACUCUAUGCUCUCAGAGAGCUACACAGCACCCACGCACUCACAUCUCUCUGCUCUCCCUUCCCAGCACGCAUAUUCUCUACUCUAGGAUACAACUUUAAAUAGAGAAAGUGGAUGCCUCCAUUCUUGACAAUAGAGGAGAGGUGGUCUCUUUCGUCUCUAUCAGCCUUCAUUCUUGACUGAGCAGCCUUCAAAGACAUAGCAAUCUGAGACUUUGAAACUGCAACUUGAAGAAAACUUUGGCAUCAAUCAUUAUAAGACUUUUGAGUGCUUGGGCUUGGGCCCAAUAGUGGGCUUUUGAGAGGAAUCAAUAAAAUUAGUGCUGGGAAGAUCACUAAUUUUAUUGAUUUUUAUUGUUAAUUACUCUCUCCAAUCCCUUCCAAAAAAAAUAGUCCAUAAAAUUAGUGCUACUUUCAUAGUAUACACCAAAAAGAACUGAAGUAGAUAACUAGUAUAUACCGCAAGCAUAUUAAUCACCAAGUUAUUGUGACAGAAAAGCUGGUGUUUUUUCUAUAAGCACAAGAAAAGUUGUACAUUACUAUAUCUUGGUUUUUGUUAAAACAAAAUUUUUUCCUUCCUAUAAUAAAAUUUGAAAUGAAACUUAUGGUUAAAAUUCUUCUCUCAUGUAAUUGAAUUCUAAAACAUGAGGUCUAGGCCACCACCUACAUCUAGAAAACACAACAAAUUACUCAGACCAGUAUCAACUAUUUGUCCCUCCCUCUCAAAAACAAAAGGAAAAAAAAAACAGAAAAACUAAACUGAACUUGAAGGCACAAACUGUUAAGUAGCACACAAUAUGCUUUAUCAACAACCUUAGCAGUUGCGCAAGUAAACGCCAGAACCUAUUUAAUUUUCAUAGUAUAACAGAUAAGAACCCACAACUUUAAAGUACUAAUCCAGCAAAGCCCACAAAAACAUUCAAUAAUAGUUUCCGAUCAGUUUUUUUUUUGGGGGUGUCUCCAGAAAUUUCUCUCCUAGAUCUGGUUAUUGCUUCUACCAUCACAAACCUCUUUAAAUUUUUUGGAUGUAUCCAGAAAUUUCUCUCCAAGAGCUGGUAGGGCGAACAAGAACACAUAGGGUUUCAGCAUUUUGUUGGAUGAAAAUGUCGAGUAAUCAAAACCUUUAAUCUUCAAUUAAAUAAAGGCUACAUCAUAUACGAGGAAAUCGAAUCUCCCCAAUAUAUAUACUCAUAAGAACGAAGGAUUACC
rnacentral:lncRNA from 1 species